ensembl:lncRNA
GGCUUUUGGAACUAAACUGAUAACAGAUGUUUAAAGCUGUAAAUAAUGAAAUAUGUAAUCUUCUAUUACUGCUCUGAAUAUUGAUUUCAUGUAAAUUAUCUUGUUACGGUUGUUUUUAUCUUGGUGAGAGCUUUUGUCCGGGCUUGUGUCCGAGUUCCGGAUUGAUCCAUGUGUGGUCGAUCGGUCUUCAUUGGAGUUGUAUCCUGUGUCUGUGUUCAUUUAGUAUUUGAUGUAACAACAAUGUGUUUUUCACAGCUCCGUGCCUUGCUUUGUGUUCUGCUUUGACUAGCUGGGUCUUUAGAUAUUCUAACUGUACUGUACAGAAUGUAUCAGGACCUCUGACCUCUAGGGGCAUCACACAGUGACCUGCUGAGCUGGUAGGGUGCCUGAAUCUGCACCGCCCCGCGCUCACUUCCUGGUUCAUCAAUCUGAUCAUGUGAUCUGUCGGAAUGUUCUGCUGCAUGCUUCAUAACCAGCAUGAAAAUAUUAUCUAUGGUAACUAACGGUAACUGAGCAUUCCAGAGCUAGUAAUCUAUAAGGGGGAUAUGGUCAGGAUAGGGUAAGGGGUCAGGCAGGGAGAGGUCAGGGGUUGGAUUUUCAUUUGGGUAAUGAAGGGGUUGUACAUGGACAGUUUUACACGUGGGCUAAAAGACUCCCUAGUCACAACUGUGUUAGCGCCUUGUCUCUGAACCAUCGACUACAUAAACAGCCUCCCCACCCACAUGACGCCUCAGUGUCAGGUCACAUGACGCCACAGUGUCAGGUCACAUGACUCCAUAGAAUGGCAUUAUGGUUACGUUUUAAAGGUAAUCUGUGUUCUUGUAUACUGUUGUUUCCAAUACAUUCCUGUAACUGAUACCGUUCAGAAGAGGAACACAAAAUGGAUCCUAGAUCUCCAGUGACCUCCCGCGACCCUCUUUCCAAAUCCUGGAUCAGUGAUGACCUCCUAUGACCCGCUUUGCAGACCAUAUCCAGGAUCAGUGAUGACCAAUGACCCUCACCAUCUGUGUAUAUACAGUAGCUGUAUGUUUGUCAGAAAAAGACGUCCCAGUUUUUUACCUCUGCGUUAUUCUGCCUCUUCCUGGGUUUGUUGCUCAUUCUGCUCCCCUUAGUGUUUGUCUUAAUUACAUGAGGGAGGGAGGAGAGAUAAAUAUUGAAGGAAGGCAAUGGUCAAACGUGUUGUUUAGGAAAGUUUUGUUUCUGUUCGGUAAAAAAAAAAAAAAGAAGCUGUUUUUAUUUUGACCUGUGAGCAGCGCAAAGCCAGAGCGCUCGUGUGUCCAGCUGUGACUGUGUGAGUGCGUGUGAGAGCGUGUGAGAGCGUGUGUUUCUGCUCUACUUUGUGGAUAGUAUGAAAUGUGGUGAUGUCAUGGCAACUGAUCGAUGGGUGGGAACAUGGUGUGCUUGCAUUGAUGAGCCUACGGCCAUCCACUCAGAAUAAAGAUUAAACAACUACCUGUGGUGUCCUGCCCCCACCCUGACUGUGCUCCUUUACUAUCAGUGUGUCUAUGGCGGUCAAUGACUCUGUCAGUCUGUGACUUCGCUUGUCUGUCAGUCAGCC